CGUCACUCCCCUCAGCUGCUUUUGAGCUGUGCUUGUGCAGCACAAUUCCUGGCCUGUUAAUUGUCUCCAGGAAACGUUUUUACUUGGUAAACAUUCAUCAACCCCCUACCUUAUCCUGGGUACUGUACUCCAUGGAUUGGAGUCUCAGAAAAAGGAAUCAAACUUCCUCAGACCUCAUGGAUGGCACAGUCUAGGUAGGGAUGGGAAGAUGGAUGAAGAAAUGAUAACACAGCAUAAAUCCAGUACCAUCAAACAAGUCCAAGUGAAAAAGAAAUCAAGCCUGAAGCUAAGCGAACCUCCACAGCCAAUUACCAGUUUAGAGGCAAUACAGGAAAGUCGAUUCAACCUGGUAUCCAGUGAAGAAAUCCCUAGUGCAAAGGAGAGGUGGAUCUCAGGACUGUGCGUCAUUUGCAAAAGGAAGCGCAUGAACCACCAGGUGGGGCUGCUGAGCUGCUUCUGCUCCGAGGAGGUGGAUGUCCGGGAUGAGCUUUAAGGGCGAGCUCACUCUCUGACAUCAACUUCCCCGUGGUGAGUCUCCGUGUACAAGAGUCCAAGGGGAGAAGUAAGGAGUGGGAGGCAGGGAGUCCAGUUCAGGAACGGGGAUUCCAGGACCAGAAGUGAAGGGGAAAAGGC
rnacentral:lncRNA from 13 species